UUACCAUGCAGUCGAACGGCAGCACGGGAGCAAUCCUGGUGGCGAGUGGCGAACGGGUGAGUAAUACAUCGGAACGUGUCCUGGAGUGGGGGAUAGCCCGGCGAAAGCCGGAUUAAUACCGCAUACGCUCUGAGGAGGAAAGGGGGGGAUCUUAGGACCUCUCGCUCAAGGGGCGGCCGAUGGCAGAUUAGCUAGUUGGUGGGGUAAAGGCCUACCAAGGCGACGAUCUGUAGCUGGUCUGAGAGGACGACCAGCCACACUGGGACUGAGACACGGCCCAGACUCCUACGGGAGGCAGCAGUGGGGAAUUUUGGACAAUGGGCGCAAGCCUGAUCCAGCAAUGCCGCGUGUGUGAAGAAGGCCUUCGGGUUGUAAAGCACUUUUGUCCGGAAAGAAAACACGCCUGUUAAUACCGGGUGUGGAUGACGGUACCGGAAGAAUAAGCACCGGCUAACUACGUGCCAGCAGCCGCGGUAAUACGUAGGGUGCAAGCGUUAAUCGGAAUUACUGGGCGUAAAGCGUGCGCAGGCGGUUCGUUAAGACAGAUGUGAAAUCCCCGGGCUUAACCUGGGAACUGCAUUUGUGACUGGCGGACUCGAGUAUGGCAGAGGGGGGUAGAAUUCCACGUGUAGCAGUGAAAUGCGUAGAGAUGUGGAGGAAUACCGAUGGCGAAGGCAGCCCCCUGGGCCAAUACUGACGCUCAUGCACGAAAGCGUGGGGAGCAAACAGGAUUAGAUACCCUGGUAGUCCACGCCCUAAACGAUGUCAACUGGUUGUCGGGUCUUCAUUGACUUGGUAACGAAGCUAACGCGUGAAGUUGACCGCCUGGGGAGUACGGUCGCAAGAUUAAAACUCAGAGA
rnacentral:rRNA from 1 species